UUGUUUUUCUAUUGCUUCUUUUUGCCCUCGCCACGAAGAAACCUUAAGUUACAAGCCAGUGGGGAAAAAAGUCGUCUAUUUACCUCUAGUGCACAUGUACCUACCUGCCUUUUCGCAGUUGACUGGCCUAAUCCUGUUCAGCGGACCACCUGUAACGAUGAUUCAUCAUUACACUUUUUCUUGGCAGGCCAAGAUUGGGAGACGCCCUUGCUUAUGCCAAAAAUAAGUGAUGGGAUAAUGCGUAAAACAAUUUUGAGCUGCAUCAUCAAAGAAGACCAGAUUUAUGAAUUGUUUACAUGAAAUUGCCGAUGGGUCACCUUUUAGGUAUAAAUUUAUAAUUCUGUUUUCAUUGCCAUGGUUUUGCUGAGAGGAAGAAAGUGAUGGUGUGGAGCCAAAUGGAUUUAUUACCAAAUAUUAUGCAUUGAAGAUUCGUUCAUACGGGAGGGAAAAUCUUACACUGUAAGAAUCUGUCUGACCUUUCUAGCGGAAAAGCAUUCCAAAGCGACUCGAAGUUUUGCCAUGAGUAUGUUGCGGCUUUUCGACAGGUACAGGCUUUUUCUGUUUCUCCAUCUUCGUUGAAACUGAUGGCCUGUUACCGUUGGCCAUUGACGAAAUGAGAUAGCACACGCCAGCAUUAAUUUUCCGCGCAGGAUAUGGAAUUAUUUGGAAAGUCACUCUCGAGGUCCCUUAUUACCGCCGCUACUUCAUUAACAGCAUUUUGAGGUUCUCUUAACGGCAUCAAGAUGGCGCACUUCUUCUAGCUGCGGGGAAAAAGAAAUCGAAAUCCCGAAGCGUUCGUUGAAGGCAGAACUGAGUUUUAAACUCGUGCACUCAGCGUUAAAUGCCAAAUUCCUGGUGUCGUGCAUCGUCCGUUGUGUGUACGUCCGUGUGCAACGUCCGUUCGGGAAAAAACAAAGUUGAUCAUUGCCAGCAUUCAAUGGAAGAAAUUCUAAAUUCGAGUGAUUAACUUAACCGGGAACAUGGAAAAAAAAGUGGGAUUUGGUCGAAUUACCGGCCGAUAAUCCGUGUUGACUCCUAGCUUCCUCCAUUUAGGGGUACAGCGUUCGCUUUCAAUCGAGCCAAGGUUGUUCAGACUAUGUGGAUCUUUACGACAGUCGUGAAGCCAUUUCGACCUGGAAUGAGCGUCAGACGAUCUCCAAAUGGUCGGACUACGUUCAUCACCAUAUAGCCACCAUUUACCAUGAGUGCAGCCAUGUGUGAUAGCAUAUUGUAGCUAAUGUGGAUCUUUACGACAGUCUUGAAGCCAUUUCGACCUGGAAUUAGCGUCAGACAAUCUCCAAAUGGUCGGACUACGUCCAUCACCAUAUUAGCCACCGUAUACCAUCGCACGUAGUUGAACCUAUGGCAUCCCACCGUAACGGUGCUAGCAAGCUAACACCGUUACUAUCCUUGGAGUGCUUUAUCAAGUCUUUUAUACAGCUCCCCAGAUGAUCCAACCAUCACUACAAUUUUUUUCGGAUUUUGAAGCUUGAUGUAAAAUUCCGCAAACAAGGUAUAAUAUA